UCAUAAUAGUCGUCGAGGGGUUCUCCCGC
rnacentral:sRNA from 1 species